CAGAUGUGAAAGACCCGGGGCGUCAACCUCGGAAUUGCAUUUGUAAACUAGGCAGACUAGAGUACUGUAGAGGGGGGUAGGAAUUUCUAGGUGUAGCGGUGAAAUAGCGUAGAGAUCUGAAGGAAUACCGGUGGCGAAGGCGGCCCCCUCGGACAGAUACUGACACUCAGAUGCGAAAGCGUGGGGAGCAAACAGGAUUAGAUACCCUGGUAG
rnacentral:rRNA from 1 species